ACAAGCGGUGGAGCAUGUGGUUAAUUCGAAGCAACGCGAAGAACCUUACCAGGCCUUGACAUGCAGAGAACUUCCAGAGAUGGAUUGGUGCCUUCGGGAACUCUGACACAGGUGCUGCAUGGCUGUCGUCAGCUCGUGUCGUGAGAUGUUGGGUUAAGUCCCGUAACGAGCGCAACCCUUGUCCUUAGUUACCAGCACGUUAUGGUGGCACUCUAAGGAGACUGCCGGUGACAAACCGGAGGAAGGUGGGAUGACGUCAAGUCAUCAUGGCCCUUACGGCCUGGGCUACACACGUGCUACAAUGGUCGGUACAAAGGGUUGCCAAGCCGCGAGGUGGAGCUAAUCCCAUAAAACCGAUCGUAGUCCGGAUCGCAGUCUGCAACUCGACUGCGUGAAGUCGGAAUCGCUAGUAAUCGUGAAUCAGAAUGUCACGGUGAAUACGUUCCCGGGCCUU
rnacentral:rRNA from 1 species